AUGAACGCUGGCGGCGUGCCUAAUACAUGCAAGUCGAGCGAACAGACGAGGAGCUUGCUCCUCUGACGUUAGCGGCGGGCGGGUGAGUAACACGUGGAUAACCUACCUAUAAGACUGGGAUAACUUCGGGAAACCGGAGCUAAUACCGGAUAAUAUAUUGAACCGUAUGGUUCAAUAGUGAAAGACGGUUUUGCUGUCACUUAUAGAUGGAUCCGCGCCGCAUUAGCUAGUUGGUAAGGUAACGGCUUACCAAGGCAACGAUGCGUAGCCGACCUGAGAGGGUGAUCGGCCACACUGGAACUGAGACACGGUCCAGACUCCUACGGGAGGCAGCAGUAGGGAAUCUUCCGCAAUGGGCGAAAGCCUGACGGAGCAACGCCGCGUGAGUGAUGAAGGUCUUCGGAUCGUAAAACUCUGUUAUUAGGGAAGAACAAAUGUGUAAGUAACUAUGCACGUCUUGACGGUACCUAAUCAGAAAGCCACGGCUAACUACGUG
rnacentral:rRNA from 1 species